rnacentral:lncRNA from 1 species
AAAACAAAGUGUAUAGUAAUUAGAUAUAGGAAGAUGUGGUAUGAGUGUCAAUGAGACAACUCUCCAUCCAAGUCACAAUUCAUUAAAUUAAACCAUUAUAGGUCUAGGUACGAUCUUCAAAACGGAGCCUUGGUUCGCACCAAAAGGAAGUUAGAUGUUAGUACACUUUAUACUUGUUAAGUAAGAGUAUAAAUGUAUUUCGUAACUGGGGGAAAAGAAAUACCUGAUGUUUUAAUUGAAAGCUUUUAACAGUAAACCCUUACAAAUAUUCCAUUCAUGUCAUUUCGGACCAAAUGACCGACUUGUCUUCUUGAAAGUAAAAUAAGAAUUUCAUGAAUAAAAUAUAAGAGCUCGACAAUAAUCUCAUCAUAGAUAUCAUGUGACUUAUAAAGUAGAAAGUUGUCGGGUUUCAACAUCAGAUGCUGUUUCUAUGUAUUUCUUUUGAUAAAAAAAUACUUUUACUUGCACUCUAUAUAUGAGUUAUUGUAAACUUCUCUACUUUGAAAAUUCGUCCCCCUUAAAAAAAAGAAAACAAAACUAAAAACCCACACCUAAAAAUCAAACAAAAAAUCAUCAUAACCAACAGCAGCAACAAAUAAAC